CAGAUGCUGAGAUCCCUAAUUGUCUUCCCUUCUCUGCUUUAGUGGUUCUCACUCUUCGAGCAGGCUUCACUGAAGCUGCUUCCAAUGCCUCACUGAGUCACUGUCACACCGUCACACGGGUCGAGGGCUCGUCGUCGAGCCACCGUAGAGCCGUCGAGAACUGAGAAGUGAGAACGCCUCACUCUCACACGGGUCGAGCCACCGCAGUCGAACCACCGCAGCAGCCGUCGAGAACUGAGAAGGUGCCUUCGCUGUCUCCCACCGCCUCACCCUCACUCUCCCUAUUGCAUGUUCUGCCUUGAAGAACUGUAUAGUGUGAAACUGUGAACUGAUUCAAGAUUCAACUGAUUGGAGGGAGCUAAAUUGUACUGUGAUUAUUGAGUAGUGAGUGAUUACUGAAACUGAACUGUGAUUCAACAUGAUGAUUGAUGAACACCGAAACUGUAAACUGUGUAGUGGUUGCUGGGAGGAAUGGGAAUAAGAGUAGCUAUUCAGAAGACUGGCUUGUAAUAAUGAUUUGCUAAACUGUGUGACUUUUUUGUGUUAGUCUAGCUACAUUGAGAAGCAUUAUGUUGUACUAUAAAUUUUUGGAUUGGUUUCAACUUUCAAGUUUUCUCCAAUAAGAUUUACUUGAGUGAAUUACAUGAUGUUACAUAUUCUGAUGUCAAUUUUAGCAGUAUUUGAUGGCUGUAAUAGUCUAGGAUUGUAAAGCACCACUUUGAUAUUAAUUUUUAUCUUAAUCACUCCUGUUCAGGCUUC